ensembl:lncRNA
UAAAAGUGGUCUGACACCAGAUGGUGUGCUGUGGCUCGCUGAUGCCGGGACCGUCCCGUUCAUAAGGACUGCUUACCAAGUUGUUCAGCCAUUUACGCUCUCUCCCUCAAUAAAGUAUUGUAAUGCAUGUAAUUGUUGCAAGAACCCAGAUCAACCUAUGUGCCAAGACUGCGAGGGUGAGAAAGGGAAAUGUUGGUUCAGCUGGAAGGUAAUACCAUUGCAACUCUUUCCCAGAGGUAAACCUUGGAGUGUAAGGAGCUCUUGAACCAAUUUUCAUCAGAGACAGACAGACUACCACAUUAAUGUCAAUCCUAUCUUUGGCUCAUUUUGUCAUGCUCUUGAUUCACCCGAUAACUCAUUGGACCCUUAAACACAUCAUAGUUUCUAGUGGAGGAAGAUAAAUCUGAAGGCCGUAAUCAAGAGGUCACAUUUCAACCUACAUGUCCUGCUGUUUUAUUUCAGUAGCCUUCUUUUUUUUGUCUCAUGAGAGAGACAGCUACAAGUUAACAACUCCGGCCUAUUUUAAACUUGAGUUGAUGAGUUGGUCACUCAUCAGGUUUGCUCUUCUGCUCUUUAAAGAAUCAGCCAGAUGGACGUGAACAUUGACUGGGGUAUUGGGGAUAUGUGAAGAGAGCUCUGUGAGGCGGAAAGCCCACUGAGUGAGCGCGUGGGAAGAGGGGGGAGAUGUGUUCAUGACUGAUUGUUUCCAGGCCUCCUUUAGGGAGGUUCUGCAGCCACACAGGGUCAAAGAGUGCGAGGGGUGGUUGUGUGUCUCAUUAACACGCUGUAACGAUCGGCUGGCCAGCGAGGUCAGAUGACAUACUUCUCAGCUGCAGCUCAAAUCCAAAUCACUCACAAAUGAAAAUGUGUUGUAUUGAUGUAAUGUGAAUGUGAAAUCAUACGGCUGGCGAUCUCAAGGUAUUUGACUUGUCUGGGCUCAUGUGUGUGUUUAAAUGACCAGUUAUUUAUUUCCUGCCCCUGUAUGCUCCCACACGCGACCGUUUUUUUCCCCUCGACUGUCACACAGACCCUGGGGUCUCUCCUGGUACAGAUGUCUGUAUUUUGCGUGUAUGUGUGUGUGUGCUCGAGUGCUUCUGGCUUGGCUGCCUGUUGCUGUAGUGAUGUGGGGGUAUUUUCGGUAGCGCUCCACACCUCCCUUGCCACCCCCCAUCCCCCUCUCUCCUGUGGUGAUGCCGGUUGCCCCGGGCUGGGUCAAACACUCCCUGAUGGAAGGGUGAAGCAGCCCGGCGCAGGACAGGCUGUGAGACGAGUCCCCCAACAUGAUCUGAAGGGCAACGGCGCUCGCUCUACCCCACAGACCCUUCUGUCACACCCGGAUGCAGGCACUCAUGCUCCCUGCUCAGCUGCAUCUCUUGGAAUUCAGCCCUAUCCAACCCAAUGUCUGCUUCAUCUCCAAAGGACUGAAAACUACAAUUUUCCACAGAGCUGCUGA